rnacentral:lncRNA from 10 species
AAUCGAUGCCCGACCACGGGCCCGAGGGGCCCUUACCCGGCAGGUGGGCGGCCGCGGCUCACCACCCCCCGGCUGGUCCCCAGCCCGCGCCGAGUACCCCCGAGUGCCCUUCUCUCCGGGCGCGGGCAGGACGCAGGAGCAGGCGGAGUCGGUGAGGCCCGACGGCUUUAUUGGUUCAGGGCCCAGUCCCGUCCCCUCGCCCGCGGACGCCCGGGUCCGCGGCGCUCAGCGGCUGUCACGGGGGCGGCGCAGCUGCCCCAUCAUGUCGGCCAGCAUGCGGUUGCACAGCGCGGCGUAGGGGUUGAGCAGCACCAGCUGGCGCCGCGCGAAGGGGCUGCCCAGCCGUGCCGCCCUCUCGAAGUCCCUGCGGGCGUCGUCGUCUCGGCCCUGCAGCCGCGCCAGGAGUCCGCGCUGCACAAAGCUCUGGCGGGCGGCGCGGCCCCGGCCGCCGCUCAGCUCCACCGCGCGUUCCAGAUCCUCCAGGGCGCCUGCGGGACCGACGAGACGGGCGGGGCGGGGGUCAGCGGAGGCCAGGGCGGCCUUGCCCGAGCCCCAGCCCACCUGCGGCCGCGCGGAUCACCGUGGUUCUUGCGGCUCCCGGGCGUGGCCAUUUACAACCCGCCUCGCACCUGCUAGAGGUCCAAUCCAACAAUGUCUCCAAAUGGGGUGUCAGGGUUGAAGAUGGCCUGCAGCACUGCCUGAUCAUUUGGAGUCCCCAUGGUGCUCAACUCCAAAAUCCCAAAAGAAAAGACCCCGGCCAUGGAUGGGAGACCUAGGACAAAGAUGGAAAAGAGUGCUUGGCACCAGACAGCUGCUCAAUGAGGAACACAACUGCAUCAUGGAGAAUCCCCAGCAUCCUCAAACCGUUAACACCUAGAAGAAUCAGAAGCACCAGGGAAGUGAGGAGCGCAGUCAACAGGAAACAGCAUGGUCCUACAGAAAUGCCUAUGCUAUAGUCACUCUGCCAGAGGCUGCUCCAGGGUGAAUUAUAGUAC